AAAUAAUAAAAUUAUAUAGUUUUAAAAUACACUAAAAUAAAAAUGUUAAGCCACUUGAAAUAAAAAUGUUAAAAACUACCUAUUAAAAGUUCAUAACAAAACAGAUUAAUAUAAAUAAAAAUCAUACAAUGAUAUAGUUUUAAAAUACACUAAAAUAAAAAUAUUAAAACACUACUUAUCGAAAAAUGUUAAAACAUAUUGAUUUUGUAAAUUUGAUUUUGUUGAAAAUAUUCUUACGCUUUUAAAAUGUGGGUAAAAAAUAAUUUUUGUUAAAUUAUAGUCGGGUCGAUCAUAUUUUAAUUGUUAAAACAAGAUAUUUAAAUGAUCUCUAACAUCCACAUCAGUUUUUGGAUGAAUGAAAUUAAACUUGUGUUGUUAACUACAUAACAUCAUAAAGUUGAGGGAUGUUGUCAUGCAUAACAUAUAUUUCGUGUGGGUAGGUAUACAUUAGUUUAGUUUGCAUAGUCAGCCAUGUGAUGGCCAAUACUUCAUGUAGUCAGCAAUCAUUUUUAUAUUAAAAUAAUAUAACAUACAUGUAAAUGACGAUAUUUAUUAUAACUUUAUCUUUUGAAAAAUAAUCUUAAACAUUUCAGAAUAUCAAUAUAUAUAAAUAUGAAUUUUAUUAUUCAUUAAUAAAAUGUGUUAAAAGUUGUUUAUGAUUUUAAAAGUUGCCAUUUAUUUGAGUUUAAAAUGUACCAUUUAUUAUAAAAUAUUUUUGGACUAUUAGAUGUAUUAAUAAUAUAUUUGGUUAAAUAGUAAGAGGAUAAAUGAUAGGUUAGAUUUUUUUGAUUUUUUUAAAAACAUUGAUUGUAAUCAAAUUUUAUGGUUUGUUGAUGAUACCAAUGUCUAUCGUGUCACAAUUCACAAGACAUUUGAAGGAAAUUUAACAACAAAGCCAAUCAGUGGUGCGAUCUUUAUUUUCAAUCCAAGAAGUGGGCAGCUAUUCCUCAAGGUUAUCCAUACAAGCGUUUUGGGCUGGUCAGAAGCGUCUUGGUCAGCUAGCGAAAUGGAAAACUGCUGAAGAGGUGGCUGCACUCGUGCGGUCUCUCCCUGUUGAAGAACAGCCAAAAUAAGUUAUUGUUACUUGUAAAGGAAUGCUCGAUCCCCUCUAGGUGUGCCUUAAGAUUGAGAAAUUCCUCUGCCACUUUUCAUUUACUUAGUUUCUUUCCAUGUUCUUAUAUUUUAUUCGAUAAGAUCCAUGUUUACCUAUUUUGUCUCUCUAUCUACACAGUUUUUACUUGUGUUGAGUUAUUUACAGUAUAUGAUGCAUCUCUUUCCUAAUUCACAAUUAUGUAUAAAUUCAGGUGGAGGUAGCUAGCACUAAGGGAUCUUAUCCUUUCCGACUACGCAAAGAAGAACAAUGUGAAUACCUCAGCUUUUACACAAUCAGAGAUCAGAGAUAUUAUCCUUGGAGCUGAGAUUACCCCACCCUCUCAACAGAGGCAACAGAUAGCUGAGAUUGAGAAACAGGGCAUGAAAUACAGCGUCAAACUUGGAUCCCCAAAGGAGUACUAUCAAUCUAUCAUGAGGAACAUCAACCCACUCAUUUCCUAGAGUUUAGCAACAUGGUGGAGGCCGACAUCGCUGAGGGAGAUCGUGAAGACACCUUUGCUUGACAUUAUGUUUACCAUAUUUUCUAACUGAUUUUUUUACUGCACUGUGCGUUUAUUUUGUGGUAAGAUUGUAAUGUCUAUGACAUCUUUUGCCAGUAGAGCUAAAUCUUUUGAGUAUGCAAAUCGUUCAUGGAAAGUCAAGAAACUUAUGUCUUUCAAAACCGAAAUGCUAUUUGAAAUCUUGAGAAACUUAUGUCCCCCACACAUUCUUUGAUAAUUCUUUAAAAUUCAAAGGCUGAAGAAUAAAUGGGUUUUUUUUUGAAAAGAUCUCUGCUCUAACCAAAGCUCAAGAACUAGUAGACGGUUUAUACUCUGUGAGAUGGGUCGAGAUAGAUGUUGGGUGUUUAAUGGGUAUUUUUAUUGAAUUUUCAUUAGGAGAGAAAUGAGAAGGUAUAUUGCUGAUUUUCAAUGGGCCAGAGAUAGUUGACAGUAUUUUUCAUAUUUCUUAUAUGUACUAUUAUUUGAGAAAUGAAUUUGCUGAUUUGUCACGUUUUCUAUAAUUUUAAAUAAUUUUACUUAUUUUUCACGAUCUUAUAAUUUUAACUGAGGAGUUAUCAAUUCAAAUAAGUAGAAAUAAGUAUUAAAAAAUCUAAAUAUUUUUUGCUCGACCCAUCUUUAAAAUCAUAAUUGUUAUAGAAUAUAUAGCGUACUUUACAUUAACCAAUUUGUAAGAAGUUUUGAAUAGUAUAAACUCUAUCGUAUAUACAUACUAUAUUUGUAAUUUAAUUAUUGUGCUUCAUAUUUUCUCAAAGAAAAAAAAAAUAUAUAUAUAUAUAUAUGCAUAAUUAAUUGGAUGUCACUAUUGAUCAAAACUGUAAGAUCUUCCUAAUUCUCUAACAAAUAAUAUCAAUGAACUAAGUUCCAUCUGUAUGUGUUGUUAGGUUAACUUCAUAUAUUAUAAAUAUAACAUCUAUUGUAUCUUUAGAACAUAUAUUAAUAAGUAAAUAAGUAGAAAUAAGAUUAGAAUAUAAUUCUAAGAAUAUAUUUUCAAAAUUUUUAUGUAUUAUAUUAUAUUAAAUAUUUUUCUUAGGGCAGUCUUCAAAAUAUUAUUUUUAUAGAAUAUGUGUUUUAAUGUUCAAUUAUGUAUUAGUUAAUUUUAAAUAGCUAAUUUGUAGUUGUUUAUAAUAAAAUAACAUUAUAUUUUAUUGCAGUUUACAUAAUUUUCAACUUUAUCAGACUAUGAAUAUGUAGCUAUAAUACAACAAAUUAUCUGUAUUCUGAAGAUUUUUCAAAUUAUCUGAAUUUAUAGAUAUAUUUCUAUUACAACCCUUACUCUAUUAAGUAAUAUAUUAUAUUUAAUAUAAAAAUAAAUAAACAUACAAAUAAUUUCUUGAGAAUGUUUACAUGAUCUGUUAUAUUAUAUUUCAGAAUGUUUUGAAAUCAAUUUUAUAUUGUUGAUUAAUUGUGUACACAACUAAACUAUAUUUAAUAAUUAACAUUUGUGAUGACAAAAAAUUAAUAUUUGGUUAAAUCCCAAAUAAAUUUAUACUGUAUCCAAGUAAUAUAAUAAAAUCUUUUCAAACUUACUAUUUUCUGUAUUUAACAUAAAUACUAGAUAGAUAUAUCACAACUCAUAUAUGGUAGUUUCUCUUUUUUAAUUUGAACUUUUUCAUAAAUAUGAGAUGCCUGUUUUAAAAUGAUUAAUGUAUUAUAAUAAAAUUUAAUGUUAUUCAUAUAUUAUUAACCUAUCAAAAGUUGUUAUUAAUUUUUAUGAACAAAUUUAAUUGAUCAAAUUUGUUUUAAAUUUCAAAUAUAUACAAAACUAACUUACCGCAAAUAAUAUUUAUAUGAUAUUAUCCCGCGAUAUUGCGAAAAAUCAUCAAGUUUUAUUUAUAUAAGCAGACUUAUGGCCUUUGGCCUAUUGUCUAUAAUUAGGUAGAAAUCAUAGAAAAAAUCUAUUAUAUAUUAUUUCAGAAUCAUUACAACAUUGAAGGUAGUCAUGUGUCAUCACCAAAAUAUGUUUUAAAAUCUUUAGAGAAUUACGUUGGUCUAUCUAAAUAUAUACUAAUUUUUUUACUUAACUAAUCAUAAACAUAAUUUUUAAUGUUCUUCAUACUUUGUUUCAAUGAAAACUACAGAACUACCUUCUUUUUUUUUUGUCAACAACUAAAGAACUACCUAAUGUGACUAAAGUAUAUAUGAAAAUUAAUGAUUUCGAAUAAUAUAGUUUUCAUAAAAAUUUGUGUAUCCACUAUCAUUUUUAUUUAAUUUUUAUUAUUAAAUAAAUUAAAGAACCAGAGUAACAAUAUAAUAAUAAAAAUUUAGAUUUUCAGUAUAUGUUAUAUUUUGAAUUUAAAAAAAACUAUAAAUUACUAAAACUAUUGAAAAUCCCACAAUGAAAUUGUGUAUCAAUGGUUUAACAUUUUUGUUAUGACAAGUUAAACUAAUUAUAAAACUAUAUGUUUUAAUUAAAUUAUAUACCUUAUAAAAAUACAUAAAUAUUUUAAUUCCGAAUACUUUUAAAAAUAUUAUAAGAACUUCAUAUUUUAAUUUUGAAAUUUUCAUUUAAUUUUUAAAGACGAUUAUAAAUUACUAUAUAUUAAACGUCUCACAUUUUAAAAAUUUUGUUAUCUAUGUUUUAAAAUUUUUGUUAUUAAAAAUUACAAAUAAUAAUAAAACCAUAUAAGUAAAAAUCUUUAUUUAAUAGAUAGUCAUAUUAAAAAUAAACUAUAUAUCUAUGCUAAUAUCAUUUAAAUUUAAUUAUAUACCACAUAAAAUAGAUAAAAUGAGGGUUUGAUGGGAGCUAGGAAUACAAGAGUGAGUCAGUUGCCACUUCACUCAGAAAUAGAAGCUCUCAUUUGGGGUAUGGAAUGUAUGAAGAAUCUACGACAGUUUUAUGUUGCAUUUGCAACGGAUUGUUUCCAGUUGAUGAAGAUGAUUUCGGAACCAGAAAAGGCAAGCUUUUGCAAAUUAUUUGUAAGACAUAAAGAUCCUUAGGAGAAGUUUCAAUAGCUUAGUACUCAUUUAUAUACCGCAGAUGCAGAAUACAAGGACGGACAGUCUCGCACGCAGUGCAAAAAAACAACCAUCGUUUGUUGUUCAUAUGGAUACGGAGCUACCAGUCUGGUUUACAUAGUCUAUAUGAGUCUGUUUUAAUAUGUCUGACAAAAAAAUUAUAUAUCUUCUGAAUCUAUAAAAUGAGAGUACUUCAAUAUUUUCAUUAUUUAUUUAAUAUUUAUCUUGAACUUACUAUAAAACUAUAUACUUGAAAAGCUAACAAAUUUAAGAAUAUAUUGUUGUCUAUUCUUAUUAUUUAGUAUUUAUCUAAAAUUAUUAAAUAAACUUUAUAAAAUUUGGGAAAUUGCCUAAAAUACCAUAUUCCUAAUACUUAUUUUCAUGUUUACCUUAACCAUUUUUAUCCUCACUUUUAAAGAGGUAAAAAAACACUUAUAAUCCUAGGGUUAACUAAUAUAGAUUUAGGGUUUAGAGUUGGGGGAUGGGAUAUGGUUUUGGAAUGUGAAGUUUAAAACUCUAAUGUAUAUAUAAAUAAAUAAUUUUUUAAUUCAUAAAAAUAGUUUCAAAAAGAAUUUUUAAAUUUCAAAAAAAAAUUUUGAAUUUGAAAACGUAUAAUUUGAAAACUAUAAAAAAUAUUUUUAUUUAUUUUUUUAUUUAUUCAUUUCAAUAAUUACUUACUAUAUAUAUAAAGCAAGGGUAUAAGAAUCUUUUACCUCUUAAUGAAGAAAAUAUUUGUGAAAAUGUCCCUUUAAUGGUACCAACAAUGUGGUAAACAUGAAAAUUUUCUAUAAAAUUUUCUCAUUCAUCGGAACAGAUAAUACAAUUUUCAUGAAAUAAAAUGAAUGCAGACAAAAAUUAUUUAUGUGUGUUGAAAAUGCAGAUCAUACUAAAAGAUUAGUUUUAUAUUUUGGCAA